rfam:Rhizobium sp. R1-200B2 contig_8, whole genome shotgun sequence.
AUAAAAGAGGCAAGGAGAUCAAAUCCUUGCUGAUCGCGGUCAAGUCUUGGGAGGAUCAGAUCUUAGGCGCGCUCGUCGCAGCCCCGGCAACGGUUAAGGAUCACGCGAAACUGGAACAAGGCCUCACGGCCUUGUUUUUUUUU